AUUGAACGCUGGCGGCAUGCUUUACACAUGCAAGUCGAACGGUAACAGGGAGCUUGCUCCGCUGACGAGUGGCGAACGGGUGAGUAAUGCGUCGGAACGUGCCGAGUAGCGGGGGAUAACGCAUCGAAAGGUGUGCUAAUACCGCAUACGUACUGAGGUAGAAAGUGGGGGACCUUCGGGCCUCACGCUAUUCGAGCGGCCGACGUCUGAUUAGCUAGUUGGUGAGGUAAAGGCUCGCCAAGGCGACGAUCAGUAGCGGGUCUGAGAGGAUGAUCCGCCACACUGGGACUGAGACACGGCCCAGACUCCUACGGGAGGCAGCAGUGGGGAAUUUUGGACAAUGGGCGCAAGCCUGAUCCAGCCAUGCCGCGUGUCUGAAGAAGGCCUUCGGGUUGUAAAGGACUUUUGUCCGGGAGCAAAUGCUGGUGGCUAACAUCCACCGGAGCUGAGAGUACCGGAAGAAUAAGCACCGGCUAACUACGUGCCAGCCGCCGCAGUAAUAC
rnacentral:rRNA from 1 species